UGGGGAAUAUUGCACAAUGGAGGGAACUCUGAUGCAGCGACGCCGCGUGAACGAAGAAGGCUUUCGAGUCGUAAAGUUCUUUUAUAUGGGAAGAUAAUGACGGUACCAUAAGAAAAAGCCCCGGCUAACUACGUGCCAGCAGCCGCGGUAAUACGUAGGGGGCUAGCGUUGUCCGGAAUCACUGGGCGCAAAGGGUUCGCAGGCGGAAAUGCAAGUCAGGUGUAAAAGGCAGUAGCUUAACUACUGUAAGCAUUUGAAACUGCAUAUCUUGAGAAGAGUAGAGGUAAGUGGAAUUUUUAGUGUAGCGGUGAAAUGCGUAGAUAUUAAAAAGAAUACCGGUGGCGAAGGCGACUUACUGGGCUCAUUCUGACGCUGAGGAACGAAAGCGUGGGUAGCAAACAGG
rnacentral:rRNA from 1 species